UAACGACUGGAAACGGUACGCUAAAACUGGAUAGGAUCAUUUGAGGCAUCUCGAAUGAUUUAAAGGGGCUUUCAAGCCACACUUAGAGAAAGGCCUGCGGCGCAUUAGCUAGUUGGUGGGGUAGAGGCCUACCAAGGCGAUGAUGCGUAGCCGGACUGAGAGGUCGAACGGCCACAUUGGGACUGAGACACGGCCCAAACUCCUACGGGAGGCAGCAGUAGGGAAUUUUCGGCAAUGGGGGAAACCCUGACCGAGCAACGCCGCGUGAAUGAAAGACGUAUUUCGGUAUGUAAAGUUCUUUUAUUAAGGAAGAAUAUCACGGAUAGGAAAUGAUCUGUGAGUGACGGUACUUAAUGAAUAAGCCCCGGCUAACUAUGUGCCAGCCGCCGC
rnacentral:rRNA from 1 species